CACUCAUUCAAAGAGUGCGUAAUAGCUCACUGGUCGAGUGAUCCUGCGCCGAAGAUUUCCGGGGCUAAAACUUACUACCGAAGCUACGGCAGCAGUAAUGAUGGGUAGGGGAGCUUCCCAUACGGGUGGAAGCAUGACCGUAAGGACAUGUGGACAGUAUGGGAGUGAGAAUGUUGGCAUGAGUAGCGAGAUGUGGGUGAGAAUCCCACAGGCCGUAAACCCAAGGUUUCCAGGGGAAGGUUCGUCCGCCCUGGGUUAGUCGGGACCUAAGCUGAGGCCGAAAGGCGUAGGUGAUGGACAACAGGUUGAUAUUCCUGUACUACCGAUAACCGUUUGAGAGAUGGGAUGACACAGUAGGAUAAGCUAAGCACACUGUUGGUUAUGUGUGCCCAAGCAUUGAGGCAGUCAAAGUAGG
rnacentral:rRNA from 1 species